rnacentral:rRNA from 1 species
AGGGGGUCUCGGCCCCCAACUCUCAACCCCGUGACUAUCUACCCCCGUUGCUUUGGCGGACCUUGGGGUCAUGCUCAUGCCGGUAACCCCGGCGAGUGCCCGCCGUAAGCCCACCAAAACUCGUUUUUAUCAGUGUCCGAGCUUGAUUUUAAUAGCAAAACUUUCAACAACGGAUCUCUUGGUUCUGGCAUCGAUGAAGAACGCAGCGAAAUGCGAUAAGUAAUGUGAAUUGCAGAAUUCAGUGAAUCAUCGAAUCUUUGAACGCACAUUGCGCCCCUCGGUAUUCCGGGGGGCAUGCCUGUCCGAGCGUCAUUACAACCCUCAAGCCUCGCUUGGUCCUGGGCGUUCGCUCCCCGCCAGGGGGCGCGCCUGAAAAAUAGUGGCGGUCCAGCGUGACUUUGAACGUAAUAACAUCUUCCGUUCUGAAAGUUCCCGCGCUGGGUCCAGCCAACCAAACCCACGUUUUCCACGAUUGACCUCGGAUCAGGUAGGGAUACCCGCUGAACUUAAGCAUAUCAAUAA